UGGGGAAUAUUGGACAAUGGGGGCAACCCUGAUCCAGCAAUGCCGCGUGAGUGAUGAAGGCCUUAGGGUUGUAAAGCUCUUUCGCCCGCGACGAUGAUGACGGUAGCGGGAGAAGAAGCCCCGGCUAACUUCGUGCCAGCAGCCGCGGUAAUACGAAGGGGGCUAGCGUUGCUCGGAAUCACUGGGCGUAAAGCGCACGUAGGCGGACUCUUAAGUCGGUGGUGAAAUCCUGGAGCUCAACUCCAGAACUGCCUUCGAUACUGGGAGUCUCGAGUUCGGGAGAGGUGAGUGGAACUGCGAGUGUAGAGGUGAAAUUCGUAGAUAUUCGCAAGAACACCAGUGGCGAAGGCGGCUCACUGGCCCGAUACUGACGCUGAGGUGCGAAAGCGUGGGGAGCAAACA
rnacentral:rRNA from 1 species